rnacentral:rRNA from 1 species
GGAUUGCCCUAGUAACGGCGAGUGAAGCGGCAACAGCUCAAAUUUGAAAUCUGGCCUCGGCCCGAGUUGUAAUUUGCAGAGGAUGUUUCUGGCGCGGUGCCUUCCGAGUUCCCUGGAACGGGACGCCACAGAGGGUGAGAGCCCCGUAUGGUUGGACACCAAGCCUGUGUGAAACUCCUUCGACGAGUCGAGUAGUUUGGGAAUGCUGCUCAAAAUGGGAGGUAAAUCUCUUCUAAAGCUAAAUAUUGGCCAGAGACCGAUAGCGCACAAGUAGAGUGAUCGAAAGAUGAAAAGCACCUUGAAAAGGGGGUUAAACAGUACGUGAAAUUGUUGAAAGGGAAGCGUUUGUGACCAGACUUGCGCCGGGCGGUUCAUCCGGGGUUCUCCCCGGUGCACUCCGCCCGGUUCAGGCCAGCAUCGGUUCUUGUUGGGGGAUAAGAACGGUAGGAACGUGGCCCUCCUUCGGGGGGGUGUUAUAGCCUGCCGUACGAUACUCUGACGGGGACCGAGGUUCGCGCUCCGCAAGGAUGCUGGCGUAAUGGUCAUCAGCGACCCGUCUUGAAACACGGACCAAGGAGUCGUCCAUUAGAGCGAGCGUUUGGGUGUCAAACCCGCACGCGUAAUGAAAGUGAAAUUAGGUGAGAGCUUCGGCGCAUCAUCGACCGAUCCUGAUGUUCUCGGAUGGAUUUGAGUAAGAGUUUUAACGGACGGACCCGAAAGACAGUGAACUAUGCUUGUAUAGGGUGAAGCCAGAGGAAACUCUGGUGGAGGCUCGCAGCGGUUCUGACGUGCAAAUCGAUCGUCAAAUAUGAGCAUGGGGGCGAAAGACUAAUCGAACUGUUGACCACAGUAGUGGGCACAACUGUACUAUUGUACAGGGCUGCUAGGCAGUUAAGAGUCCGGCCGUAAGGCAGGGCUAGUGGGCUUCCAGCCUGCGACACCGUCAAAGUGCGGGGACACCCUAUUAGAAUGCUGCGCUACCGCCUCCGGCUUGAAAGAGCCGCCGGGGCACCAGGUGUAACGGCCUGGGUAUGGUAAUAACGCGUGUAAGCAAGGGGCAAUCCGCAGCCAAUCCCUAACCCACUGUCAAGUGGUACGGGGGCAGUUCACAGACUAGACGGCGGUGGGCAUCUGUGUACAGGUGCUUAAGAUAUA